rnacentral:rRNA from 1 species
AUAUCAUUAAGCGGAGGAAAAGAAACUAACAAGGAUUCCCCUAGUAACGGCGAGUGAAGCGGGAAGAGCUCAACUUGAAAAUCGGUGCGGCCCCGCCGCAUUGAAUUGUAGUCUAUAGAAGCUGUUGUCAGUCAAGCUCUCGGGAGAAGUCUCGUUGGAACAGGGCAUCAUAGAGGGUGACAAUCCCGUCUGUGCCUCAGUGCAUGCUAUUAUGUGAUACGUUUUCAAAGAGUCGAGUUGUUUGGGAAUUGCAAGC